rnacentral:misc_RNA from 1 species
GGCUGUUAUAUGGCACAUUUAAAGAAUGUACCAUUACAUUGUUGUCAAAGAAUCUACCCCAUGGUAAAUGAAAUUCAGGGUUUAUCUUAUUGCCAUCUCAAUUUAAUCCCGUUUAUAAGCAUUAUCCCUAAUUCCCAAAUUCCAAACUAAUUUCCUAAGUUUAAUACAAAGAAAAAUAUACUUUAAUAUCAAAAUAAAGUAUCACAACCAUAAAGUCAUAAUGAGAAGCCCAGCAAAACAUUCAAGUUGCAGCAACUUGCUGCUCUUGCAGUGCAAGAGGAAUAGCUGGUCUCCAACUUGUGCCAUCUGGACUAUCCAUAAGAGCAAUUCCCAGAGUAGCCAAAUCCUUCCUAAUGGCAUCUGAUUUUUCAUAGUCUCUGUUCUUCCUUGCUACAUUUCUUUCUUCAAUUUUUUGCAAUACUUGGUCUUCUGUUAACUUUGCACGCCUCAGUGACUUUUCCCUCAUUUGCUGCAGAACCUCAGAAUAUGUUGUGGGCAUCAACCCCAAGACACACAGAGCAUUCUUGACUAUCUUUUCUAGAGCAGCAAGUGAUUCAAUUCGCUUUGCCUGUUUCUUCCCCUUUCUGGUAUGUAUCAUAUCAUUGAUUAUUUUUAGUGGAUCAGACAAUGCUG